GAUGAACGCUGGCGGCGUGCCUAAUACAUGCAAGUCGAGCGAAUGGAUUAAGAGCUUGCUCUUAUGAAGUUAGCGGCGGACGGGUGAGUAACACGUGGGUAACCUGCCCAUAAGACUGGGAUAACUCCGGGAAACCGGGGCUAAUACCGGAUAACAUUUUGAACCGCAUGGUUCGAAAUUGAAAGGCUGCUUCGGCUGUCACUUACGGAUGGACCCGCGUCGCAUUAGCUAGUUGGUGAGGUACGGCUCACCAAGGCGACGACGUGUAGCCGACCUGAGAGGGUGAUCGGCCACACUGGGACUGAGACACGGCCCAGACUCCUACGGGAGGCAGCAGUAGGGAAUCUUCCGCAAUGGACGAAAGUCUGACGGAGCAACGCCGCGUGAGUGAUGAAGGCUUUCGGAUCGUAAAACUCUGUUGUUAGGGAAGAACAAGUGCUAGUUGAAUAAGCUGGCACCUUGACGGUACCUAACCAGAAAGCCACGGCUAACUACGUGCCAGCCGCCGCGGUAA
rnacentral:rRNA from 1 species